GUACGCUGGCGGCACGCCUAACACAUGCAAGUCGAACGAAGUAGCAAUACUUAGUGGCAGACGGGUGAGUAACAUGUGGGUAUCUACCCUUUGGCCUGGAAUAACACGAGGAAACUUGUGCUAAUACCGGAUAAGUCUUUACGGAGAAAGCUUUAUGCACCAUUGGAUGAGCCCGCACUUGAUUAGUUUGUUGGUAGGGUAAUGGCCUACCAAGACUAUGAUCAAUAGCUGAUUUGAGAGGAUGAUCAGCCACAUUGGGACUGAGACACGGCCCAAACUCCUACGGGAGGCAGCAGUGGGGAAUCUUGCACAAUGGAGGAAACUCUGAUGCAGCGAUGCCGCGUGAGUGAAGAAGGCCUUUGGGUUGUAAAACUCUUUCGUCGGGGAAGAAAAUGACUGUACCCGAAUAAGAAGGUCCGGCUAACUUCGUGCCAGCAGCCGCGGUAAUACGAAGGGACCUAGCGUAGUUCGGAAUUACUGGGCUUAAAGAGCUCGUAGGUGGUUAAAAAAGUUGAUGGUGAAAUCCCAAGGCUCAACCUUGGAACUGCCAUCAAAACUUUUUAGCUAGAGUGUGAUAGAGGUAAGUGGAAUUUCUAGUGUAGAGGUGAAAUUCGUAGAUAUUAGAAAGAACACCAAAUGCGAAGGCAACUUACUGGGUCACUACUGACACUGAGGAGCGAAAGCAUGGGUAGCGAAGAGGAUUAGAUACCCUCGUAGUCCAUGCCGUAAACGAUGUGUGCUAGACGUUGGAAAUAUAUUUUCAGUGUC
rnacentral:rRNA from 1 species